rnacentral:rRNA from 1 species
UACGAAGGGUGCAAACGUUGCUCGGAAUUAUUGGGCGUAAAGCGCACGUAGGCGGCUUGGUAAGUUGGAUGUGAAAUCCCUCGGCUUAACCAAGGAAGUGCAUCCAAAACUACUGAGCUUGAGUACUAAAGAGGAUCGCGGAAUUCCCGGUGUAGAGGUGAAAUUCGUAGAUAUCGGGAGGAACACCAGUGGCGAAGGCGGCGAUCUGGGUAGAUACUGACGCUGAGGUGCGAAAGCGUGGGGAGCAAACAGG